ensembl:lncRNA
GAUCUCCUGGGCUGUUCCUGAGGCUAAACUGCAGCAUAACUUUAGUCCCAGUUUAAAGCCCGGAGCUGACCUUCUGUCCCCGUGUAUCAGUUACAGGCUGCCUCUCAAGAUAAGAUGUGUAACCUCAGGCUCAGACAAGGGCAAUCCUCUGGAGGAGGAAAAAGACAGUGAGCCAUCAACAGCCCACACUCACAGCAGCUGGGAGCUGGGUGCACCUGCAGCUUGCAGGAUCUUAGAUCCCCAAGCAGGGAUCAAACUCGGGCCCAAGGCAGUGGAAGCACGGAGUCCCAAACCACCGGACCAUCAGGAAAUUCCCUUAGUAAGAGAAAAUUGGAGUCUGAUGAGGAUUCACUGUAUUUCACAUGGAUGCCAGGGCUCAGCACCCAGAGGCUUGUGCAGAAUCCCAAACACGAGUGUGUUAGAAGUUUUGAGCUGGAAGGGGCCUGAGAGAUGAUCCAGCCUUGGAAAAUUGAGGCCCUGAGAUCUGAAGCGAAGUGUCCAAAGUCAAAACUACGAGAUGACUGCCGGUGGCUAGUGGACAGCUUGAGAGG